UGCUGAAGGAGAAGUUUCCUUGUAGAUGUUGGAAAGAAGUGAGUUUGCUUUCAGAGGUGUUGAGUUCGAGAUUACCGUGAAGCACCUGACAACAUAUAUCAAGCACAAAUCUGGGGCUCGAAAGAAAUGUCUGGACUGGAGUCUGCAGGCUCACAACUCCCUUUACCCUCAGCCGAUUAUUCUUCCUUCUGUUUCAAGUCCACUCCUCAAAAUUCAGUUCAGACCUCACUUCCAGAGAAGAAUUCUUAGUCCCAUUUUCCUUGUAGACAGGAAUAGAAGCUCCAUCACUCCUGAGGGGUACUGACUGCUUUG